AGCGGGAUAGAGCAGUUGGCAGCUCACCAGGCUCAUAACCUGGAGGCCGGUGGUUCGAGUCCACCUCCCGCUA
rnacentral:tRNA from 1 species